AACGGGUGAGUAACACGUGAGUAACCUGCCCUUGACUUUGGGAUAACUUCAGGAAACUGGGGCUAAUACCGGAUAGGAGCUCCUGCUGCAUGGUGGGGGUUGGAAAGUUUCGGCGGUUGGGGAUGGACUCGCGGCUUAUCAGCUUGUUGGUGGGGUAGUGGCUUACCAAGGCUUUGACGGGUAGCCGGCCUGAGAGGGUGACCGGCCACAUUGGGACUGAGAUACGGCCCAG
rnacentral:rRNA from 1 species